rfam:Trichobilharzia regenti genome assembly, scaffold: TRE_scaffold0023736
GUACUGAUGAAGAGUCCCAAACUAGGACGAAACAGUUAUCCAGUAU